CCACGCGCGGGCCGGGACGCCGGGGGCGGGGGCGGCCAGGCUGGGAAAGGAGAGGGAACUCGGAUGUCACUCAGGCUCAGGGCCUCCGGAGCAGCUGUGUCCCCCUUGCUCAUCCCAGAGAGACCAGGGUCCGGGACGCUAUGCUCAACAUCCUUUCCCACCUUCCGGAGGGCCGGGGUCCUACCCACCACCUGCGGGCUAGUCAUGCCCAAGAAGGUGUGAAAAGAAAAGCAAAGUUUGACGUAAUGGAGAAAAACAAGCCACUGUUUUGGGACCGUGCUGGUGGGGAGGGGAGGGUUUGUUUUUUCUACUGACUUUUGAAGGUAGAGGAAGGUUUAGAGGCCGAUUAGGGGGCCAGGGGAAACGAAGGUUUGGGGGGUAAUGGACAAAAGAAGAAAGACCAGGGGGCCGAGAAAGAAUGAGAGGAGACAAUAGAAGAGCGUCAAUCCAGCCAAGUGGAUUCCCAAAAGUCAAGCUUUUGCUGUCAACCUAGUCUGUUUCCCUCUUCCCCCUCACCCCACACACAGGUUUCCGUGGUCUAGGAUGUCCUCCGCAGACCGUGCAGAAGCAGCAUUAGGAGAAAGCGGAUGAAGAGUAAAGCCCUUGCCAGACAGUUCCUUAAACCUCUCGGGGCAAGCGCACACUGAGGGGAGGAGAGGGAGCAGCAAGGGCUGGUUUUGACCAACAGGUACACUCCAGGCUGCCUGCAUCUUGCUGGCUACUGGUGCAGCAGAGCUGGGCUGUCUGCUGUUUUCCUGGGACCCGCUAGGAGGCCCUGAGGGCACCCAACCUGUGAAAGACAGUGGACAGAGAGAACCUUCUUUGUCAUGGUGCCAGAAAGCUCCAGCAAUCUUGGCAGGUAAACCUUGGGUUCCCACCCUCCAUGUCAUAGAACAACCGAGUUCUGCCAGGAUCCAUGAAUGUACUCUAACCCUGCCCUCCGUUGCACGGGCAACUUUGUCUUCCCCUUCUCAGCACCAGUCAAAGACACCCACUGCUGGGUGUGAGGUGAAGGCUACCACAGCAGUGGCUCAUGUCUGUCUCCGGAGGACAGCCUCUCCGGUGUGACGUACAGAACAGCAUCGCCAGGGCGGUCUAAGCUGCUGCUUUUCAUAUAACAGGAGAGAAGAUUCAGCCUCACUGGUCCCUGAAGUCCUGUGAGGAGACCGAGGAGGAAUCCGGGUGCUGCUGACAAUGCGAGGCAGCCUUAGGGGUCCACUGACUGCCUCGACCAGCAAGGGGACAGGCUAAUUCAGAAGGGGACAAGCAUGCCACGGCCUCACUUAUAACAAUUUACUUCUGCAAAAGCCGAUCCUGCCCCAGAAGACUUAACUGGCCCUCACAAGGCUACCUUCCCGGAACCCUUUCCAGGCUGCCCCAUCCCAAUCACUGCCCACCGGCCCUGUCGGUCACUGGGGGCCAAGCUUCCAGCACAGGGACCUUCUGAGGACAAAGGACCAUUUCAGCACCUUAAGUCAUAGCUUACUCAUCUCCGGGGCUGCAUUUACUGGAUUAUGUUAUGACUUUCCAUUCAGAAUCGAUCUACUCCAAGGCGCAUUAGAAGAGUUCAUUAGCAUCUUUGGCUCCUUCCCUCUGCGUCUCAAGAUUAUUACUGCUUCCCCCCUACCUCCCAGACAGGAUCACACUAUGUGGCCCUAAUGUUCCGGAACUCUCUAUGUAAACCAGUGUGGCCCCAAACUCACAGACAUCCUCCUGCCUCUACCUUCAUUCCUUCCUCGGCUCUACAGAAACACCCAGCAAGUACCACACCCAGAACAGCUCAAAGGGCCUCAGUCCUGAGGUGAUUAAGUGAUCAGAGACGUGAAAAAGUCAGAAAACAGCAGAUAGGGAGGGAGGUAGACAGACAGCAGACAGACAGACAGCAGACAGACGUGGGGCAGGGGGAGGAAGAGAG
rnacentral:sRNA from 1 species